rnacentral:rRNA from 1 species
AGUGAACGCUGGCGGUAGGCCUAACACAUGCAAGUCGAACGGCAGCACAGUAAGAGCUUGCUCUUACGGGUGGCGAGUGGCGGACGGGUGAGGAAUACAUCGGAAUCUACUUUUUCGUGGGGGAUAACGUAGGGAAACUUACGCUAAUACCGAAUACGACCUACGGGUGAAAGAAGGGGAUCUUCGGACCUUGCGCGAUUGAAUGAGCCGAUGUCGGAUUAGCUAGUUGGCGGGGUAAAGGCCCACCAAGGCGACGAUCCGUAGCUGGUCUGAGAGGAUGAUCAGCCACACUGGAACUGAGACACGGUCCAGACUCCUACGGGAGGCAGCAGUGGGGAAUAUUGGACAAUGGGCGCAAGCCUGAUCCAGCCAUACCGCGUGGGUGAAGAAGGCCUUCGGGUUGUAAAGCCCUUUUGUUGGGAAAGAAAAGCAGCAGGUUAAUACCCCGCUGUUCUGACGGUACCCAAAGAAUAAGCACCGGCUAACUUCGUG